UUCCACAUGAUCGCAUGUGAUUGUGGGAAAGAUUCUAUCGGCGUGGGAUGGGGUCGCGUCCUAUCAGCUUGUUGGUGAGGUAACGGCUCACCAAGGCGUCGACGGGUAGCCGGCCUGAGAGGGCGACCGGCCACAUUGGGACUGAGAUACGGCCCAGACUCCUACGGGAGGCAGCAGUGGGGAAUAUUGCACAAUGGGCGCAAGCCUGAUGCAGCGACGCCGCGUGAGGGAUGGAGGCCUUCGGGUUGUAAACCUCUUUUGUUUGGGAGCAAGCCUUCGGGUGAGUGUACCUUUCGAAUAAGCGCCGGCUAACUACGUGCCAGCAGCCGCGGUAAUACGUAGGGCGCAAGCGUUAUCCGGAUUUAUUGGGCGUAAAGGGCUCGUAGGCGGCUCGUCGCGUCCGGUGUGAAAGUCCAUCGCUUAACGGUGGAUCUGCGCCGGGUACGGGCGGG
rnacentral:rRNA from 1 species